ACCGACGCGCCCACGGCGAUGCCGGGCGCGCUUCUCCCAGCGCUAAGCGGGAGGGCGCGCGCCCCUUGCGCUUGGACAGGUGCUUUGACGUGGGAACCUUGAGGGGUUUUCCUUCCCCGCUCCUAAAACUGUAGAGCCGGCAAGCUGGAAAGACCGCUAAAGCUCAUCUCGGCCAACCACCUCGUUUAUAAUUUAUGGGGCGACUGAGAAGACGGGAAGUGACGGAGGGGUCCCGGCUGGAGCCUAUGCUGUAUCUCCUUAGGAUUCAAGCAUUGCUGGAGGACUGGUGGAGCAGGACUUCAGGACUCUAUUUAUAUAUAGCUCCUGGAGUAUCUUAGGAAAGAAGCCAUGCUAAGAGAGAGCUGACUCCCCAAGCCUGGUUCAAGGAUGUGAGCCACUGUCAGAAAGGAGAAGAAAUGGUGAAAGCAUCAUGGUCUCUGUCAUUUAGAUCAGCCUCCAGCUCAGCCUCCAUGGAUUCAUGCCUCUGUCAUAAGGAGAUUGGAGGAUCCCAAGAUGGAAUAAAGGAUGGGACAAAAUAAUCUAACUAUAUCAUAAAUCUAUGAAACAUGAGACUUCCCUGGUAGCACAGUGGUUAAGAAUCCUCCUGCCAAUGCAGGGGACAUGGGUUUGAGCCCUGGUUCAGGAAGAUCCCACAAGCUGCGGAGCAGCUAAGCCCAUGCACCACAACUACUGAGGCUGAGCAGCUCAUGAGCCACAACUGCUGAGCCCAUGCACCACAACUACUGAAGCCCGUGCGCCUAGAGCCCGUGCUCCACAACAAGAGAAGCCACUGCAAUAAGAAGCUCAUGCACCACAAUGAAGAGUAGCCUCCGCUCGCCACAACUAGAGAAAGCCCACACACAGCAACAAAGACCCAAUGCAGCCAAAAAGAAAUAAAUAAAUUUAUUUUAAAUAAAUAAAUCAUUCAAUCAAUCUGUGAAACAGCCUCACUGACGGGGCUGGGAGAAAAGGUACUGACCCAAGUAACUUUGGAAAUGAGUGGGGUCUAUAAAAUUAAAUGCCAAAGGAACUGUACAUUAGCACUGUACUCUAGUUGAAAAAGUUGUGUACCCAUGGGGUAUAAGUUAACAAUUCUGAAUUCAAUAUAUA